rnacentral:rRNA from 1 species
UGGUUCUCCUCGAAAUAGCUUUAGGGCUAGCCUUGUGUAGUAGUAUAUGGGGGUAGAGCACUGACUGAGGUAGGGGCCUAACCAGGUUACCAAACUCUAUCAAACUCCGAAUACCGUAUAUGUAAGCACAGGAGUCAGACUGCGGGAGCUAAGUUCCGUGGUCAAAAGGGAAAGAGCCCAGAUCGUCAAUUAAGGUCCCAAAGAUAUAGCUAAGUGGCAAACGAUGUGAUUUUGCGUAAACAACCAGGAUGUUGGCUUAGAAGCA